rnacentral:rRNA from 1 species
GACGAACGCUGGCGGCGUGCUUAACACAUGCAAGUCGAACGGAAAGGCCCUGCUUUUGUGGGGUGCUCGAGUGGCGAACGGGUGAGUAACACGUGAGUAACCUGCCCUUGACUUUGGGAUAACUUCAGGAAACUGGGGCUAAUACCGGAUAGGAGCUCCUGCUGCAUGGUGGGGGUUGGAAAGUUUCGGCGGUUGGGGAUGGACUCGCGGCUUAUCAGCUUGUUGGUGGGGUAGUGGCUUACCAAGGCUUUGACGGGUAGCCGGCCUGAGAGGGUGACCGGCCACCUUGGGACUGCGAUACGGCCCAGCCUCCUACGGGCGGCAGCAGUGGGGAAUAUUGCACAAUGGGCGGAAGCCUGAUGCAGCAACGCCGCGUGCGGGAUGCCGGCCUUCGGGUUGUAAACCGCUUUCGCCUGUGCCGAAGCGUGAGUGACGGUAAUGGGUAAAGAAGCACCGGCUAACUACGUG